ensembl:lncRNA
AUAGAUAUCGAAGGUUUGUGUUUGUUAUAUCGUAGAAUAGCCUAUAUAUUCCAGCCCGAUCUCACGGCAAUUCGUACAUAUUUUACGAGGUGGCUAAUUCGUACGAAUUCGUACGACCACACUCGUACAAAUUCAUACGAUUUUUGCCAAAUCGUACGUAUUUUACGAGUUGCACAUUCGUAUGAAUUUGUACGAAUGACCUACACCAAACCCCGCCCCUAAACCUACCCGUCAGUGGGGUCUAGCCAAAUCGUACGAAAUCGUACGAGUGAGGUCGUACAAAUUCGUACGAAUUAGCCACCUCGUAAAAUACGUACGAAUUGGUCGUGAGAUAGCGUUGUAUAUUCUACUAUUCAUGCAUCUGUUACAAAACAACUAGGCCUGUUAACUAAAUCUAGUUUUAAAUAUAUAGAGAUUUGUUGUUACAUUUGAAAAAAAAAACUAUAUAGAAUAUAAUGCUGAUAAUUCAAUGUUUCAACAAAACAACACUUUCUAAUUAUUAUUAGUAGUAGUAGUAGCAGUAGUAGUAUAGUAGGCUAGUAGUAGUUGUUGUAUUAGUACUAUUUUUAUUAUGAACAGUAGUGGUAAAUGAAUGCAUGUAAAUGUAAUGUAAACGCAGUAUACGCCGAACAAGUACAGCAUUUUGCUGACUCCAAACGUAGAUGGAAAAGAGCAAAACAUACUCUUAAUCUAAUUUUCCUUUCCUUUCCCCCCUUUCCCUCCCUGUCUGUCAUGUGAUCUAUAACUAAAAGCAAACGUGUUUUGAGGCAUGCUGUAGCACCCUGACCGCAGAAUUUGGCUGUGGGCCUGUUCACCAAAUACACCAUUCAAUAACAGCAGCUCUCAAUCAUAUCUAAUUCCACUGGCAUUAAUAAGUAACGAUCUGACACCAUCAAUGAGUUCUCACUUUGUCGACCCUUCACAUAACACACUGGACGAAGUAUCCUGCGGAUCAACAUUUCCACAAAAUGCUGAACGAUGCUAUGGGUGCUACAAGAGUUGCAUUUCUAAAGAGAGCAAGCAAUACAGCACUGGACGACUGAUUUGAAAGAAGCUUCAUAAUAUUCACCAGCAGCGCAGGAGGCAAAACAUGGAUUACAGGGCUUUGUUUGGUAAGUUUAUAUUUUAUUAAAUUGAACAUGCUGGACAAUAUGUGCCAUCGUCAUAGCAUAGUCAGAAAUUAACAGCAGGUUUUUGGUUUGCGAUAAUAAUUUCAGAUUGUUGACAGCAGCAUAGGCAGGCUGAUAAAAAUAAAAAUAAAAAACUCAGAGUAUUCCCUGUUUUU